GUAACAGCUACUGCUGGCCAAGCUGGGCAGGGCACUCUCAGCCCUAGAAAAUCUGUGGUUUUCUGGGCAGGCUGACUCCUGACUCCAGUGAGAAGAAAGUUCUCCCAUCCCUGAGCCAGCACCAGGCGUUCUGCUGGCCAAGGUGCUUCAUUCUCCUCCUGGCUGUUUCCUGAGCUGUUUCCUGAGCUGCACUGCACUAUUUUACACACCAAAUAGAGAAAGCUGCACUUCCUGAGGACAGCUGAAAUUGCUGAUUGGCUUGCCUUGAUCUCCUGUGGUGCUGAGCUCCCUGUGCUGUCAGUCCUGGUGUCCCUCUGUCACCUCACACCCAGCACAUCCUGUGGGAUCAGCGUGGGAUGCUCAAAUGCUCAGGUGAACCCGUGUGUGGGGGAAGGACUGGUUUGGAAUCCGUGCCAUCAGCAAAGCUCUGAUCUGCUCAGCGCCUCAAGCCUUCAAACUUGAGCAUCUCUCUGCCUCAGGAGUGCUGCCAGA